CGUUGUUCCCACUUUCUAAGCGCUGGUUUUAAUUUUUGAAGUCCGCUCAAAUUUCAUUUAUUUCUUCUCUCACUAAAAUCAGAUUCAAAGACUCGGUUGCGGCUAACUAGGUUACCACAAUUCUCAAUUUUCCCCAAAACUUCAUCACAUAUGGAUUCGAGUAUGAGAGUAUCUCCAUCUUUCUCCGCUUCUUCGUCAGUUUUUGCAAGCACAUGAAGCCUUGAUUUCUCAUAUUUGCUUCUAAGACUCAAACAGCAUUCAGGAGGCAACGUUCCAUUGAUGAAUCGAGUAAUGUCAUUUGCUGGUUUUGAUCACCAGGGUUCUUCUAGAAGGUUGAUGAAGACGUGAAGUAGCAUCAGCUAGGCUUUAAUGCUUUGUUACUAUUUUGUGCUCAGUAAAGUAGUAACAUCACACCCUAAGAAGCAUCAGACUGGAAUUGACACUAAAUUUAUGGAAGUGCUGACAUUCAGAGAACACCACAUGACAUUUUUUCAGAAGUCAGAUCUGUUUUUCAUCUGUCUGCAACAACCUCUGUCCUUUAACAUCCAAGUUCAAGAAACAGAACUGGAAGCAGCUUAGUUCUGAUAAAGAGCACAAGAACAUUGCAAGCAAAGACAACAUGUUAAUGGUCACUUUUGUUUUUCUGGUUUUAGAUGAUAUGGCUGCUUAUUCCUCAUCAUACUAAUAUUGAACCUUGUUUGUUGGUGCGAAAUGUAAGUGGUUGCGGUGCUGAAAGAUUGUGAGGGGGCUGGGGUACUAGAGCCUCGCAUAUAUAUGUUUGUGCAUGCAAGUAUGUUAUCUGGCACCGUUUUAUACUGUUGAACAUUUUCAAGGUUUUGUAGCUAUAGCUGAGCUGCUUAGUUAUCAUGUGAAUCUGGCUAAUUGAGAUUGUUUUUCAUUGUGAAACUUGUGUUUUCUAAAGUUUGUAGAGGAUUUUCUUACUCUUUUAUAAGAGACUGUUCAAAAGAUAUUCUUAUUCAAUUAUGAUAUUUAAUUAUGUAUUAUGUUUCUCGACUGUAGUCCAAUGUUGUAUGGUUUAUAUUUUCAUUUCACUUAAACUUAUUCUACUUGUUGGACACUGUAGGUAUUCUAGGUCUCCAUCACCUAUGAAAAAAAGAUCUACGUCUCACUCUAGGUCCAUAUCUAUGUCUCCUCCUAGAUACCGGUCCCAUUCUCGUCCCAGGUCAAGGUUUGCGAGCCAUGGAAGGUUGGCUUGAAGCUUAAAAGGCACAUUUGUUGUUCGCUUUCUGCUUGACUGCUAACUCUUUAUUCUAUAGCAGGAUUGAGAUCCUCUAGAGUCACUCAUAGAGAACUUGAGGAUUUCUUUUCCAAGUAGGGAAAGGUGAGUACUGGAUGUAUCCUGAUCAAAUAUGCUGUUGUCAAGACAUGAAUGGACUUAAUGUUACUAUUCCAACAUCACAAGCUGGAUCAGAAAUGCAAAAAUAGGUCGAAGCUGCUACACAUCAAUUCUAGAUAUUUGGUGCAAAUUUUCUUAAUUUUUUUUAAGAACAAGGAAUCAUUGAGAUUUAAUUCUUAGUAUGGACCAAGUUAUAUAUUUGACCUUAUUAGUUUGGUUG